CUCUUAGAGUCAAUACUAUAUAUUCUUUCCAAGGCAGAAGAGUGGUAAGGGCCAAGCAAUGGGAAUUAAGUGACUUGCCCAGGGUCACACAGCUAGGAAGUGUCUGAGUCACAUUUGAACCCAGGACUUCCCAUCCUUGGGCCUGGCUCUCAAUCUGAGCCACCUCGCUGCCUCAAUGGACUUUGCUUUUGUGCUAUUAGAAAAAGUGAUACAAUGGAUACUGUUCUGGAUUUGAAGUCAAGAAGACCGGGUUUUUAAUUCUACCUCGGAUAUUUAAUAGCCAUAUGACCUCAAGCAACUUACUUAACCUCUCUUAGCCUCAGUUUCUUCAUUUGUAAAAAUAAAGCAUUUUAAAAAUGUAAUAAGAAUCAAGUGAGGUUUUUAACACAAACAUAUAUCACUUUGUAAGCCUUAAAGUGCUAAUAAACAGCAGUUAUUGUUAUUGUUUUCCUAUUUGUCUUCAUACAACCACAGUCUAAGUCUGGAAACAGCCUUACAGUGCAUAGACCAAAGGACAUACCCAGCAGGCAACUGUCCAGUCUGUGCUUACAGACCCCCAAGGAAGGAAGACACAGCACUGUGGAGGCACCCGGUUCCCUUUUGGUCAGCUCUCCUGGUUAGGAAGUGGUCCUGCGUAUCAGAGCUGUCCUGCCUCGUUUCGUCUCCCAUCCAGUGCUCCAGGUUCUGCCCUCUGGGCCCAAAGAUACUAAAUCCGCUCGGGGAAGCCCUUCAAAUGCGUGAAGGCAGCUCUCAUUUCUCCCCCAGAGCCCAACCCUUUCGCUUAAUCCUGCUUCAUCCUGAAUUCUAGACCCUUUCACGGCUCUAGAGAGUCUCCAGCUUAUUAAGGUCCUUCUUAAACCCCGUCAACCAGAACCGAGGUCUGCGGACACGGCGGGAUGGUCAUCUCUGCAUUCCUGGAAGCGUUGCCCAAGGCCACAUUCACUCCUUUGACCACCCCCUCACGCUGCUGACUCACACGGAGCCUUCCGUCCCCGAAAACCUCAAGAUCUGGCAUUUCAGGCCAAAUUCAGAGGUUUUGUCCUGCCCCUCCUGUCCGGAGAAUAUCCUCCUGGGAAGAAGCCGCGGAGACAAAGGACGAGUUACGUAAUUUUGCUAAGUCCUGCGCACCCUACCUUAGAAACAUCACUUCUCCCAGCCCUCUCGGACGCCCUGACGCCUCCCGGCUCUCCCCAGCCCCGUCCAUCUAUCGCUCAGCUGUCAGCCUCGUCUUCCCAAGAGCUCAUUAUAGAUAUCAUCACAUUGGGUCCUCACAGCCCUGUGAGGGAGGUACUGUUUUUAAUCACCAUUUUACAGAUGAAGAAACUGAGGCUGAGAGAUAAUCAAACAGCUAGUAAGUAUCUGAAGGAAGAAGUGGAUUCAGGUAUUUUUGACUAUAAAUCCAGCACUCUUAUGCCAACCUCCUACCUCAGGUUCAUUUUUCAUGAAAUGAGAUAAUAUUUAUAUAAUGUAUAGUUGUUGUUCAUCCUUCAUUCCUUUUUCUUUUUCUAACCCUAACUUUCUGGCUUAUUAACAACUCUAAAUCAGAAGGGCAAGGGCUAGGCAAAUGGUUUUUGGCCAGGGUCACACAUCUAGGAAGUGUCUCAGGUCAGAUUUGAACCCAGGUUCAAAUUGAACCCAGACUUGGCACUCUAUUCACUAUUCCACUUAGCUGCCCCAUCCUUUGUUUUCAAAG
ensembl:lncRNA